rnacentral:lncRNA from 1 species
CUGUCAGACAGUUUUCCUUUAACCUCGACCUCAUUUUAUGGUUUAAGUUUUCGUGGUCAAGUCCAUCAUGUACAAACAUGUACUAUUAGUGAUAUGUAUACUAUAAUUUGUGUGUGGAAUAAUAGUGUGUACAUGUUCUACCGGCAGGUGUCAUCUGACCUUGACCUUAUUUUCAUUGUUCAGUGGUUAAACUUUUGUGUUCUGGUCUUAAAUAUAAGCAUAAGUCAACUAUAUUAAAUAUAUAAAAUGAUUAUAACAUGUAUAAGUAUCAGGUGUAUAUUCCUGUCUGGCUUGUAACAUCUUACCGUGACCUCUUUUUUAUGAUUCAUUGAUCACUGUUAAGGUAUCAUGGUUUUCUUAGUUUCUGUAAGCAAUAGGUCAACUACAUUUAAUGCACAAAUUGAUUGAAAGAUGUACUUAAUAGUCUGUCAUGGUUUAUUUUACAUUGGUCUCAUUUGCAUGGUUCAGUGGGCAAUGUUAAAUAAAGGCAACAGUAGUAUACCGCUGUUCAAACUUAUAAAUUUAUGGACAAAAAACAAAAUCGGGGUAACAAACUAAAACUGAGGGAAACGCAUAAAUAUAAGAGGAGAACAACGACACAACACUACAAUGUAGUUCAUUUUCGAUCUAUGAGUUUGACUUUGCCUCUGGUACCUUUCACCCUUCUAUGUUCUGUUCUUCCUUUCUUUUAAUUUUACCGGUACAUUGAUUGAUAUACUAAAUUAUAUACCAUAUAUGAACUAUGCAGGCUAAUUUGGGUGUCUUGUAUUUCUUUAUACGAG